GGAGAGCUGUCUGAGUGGUUGAAGGAGCUCGCCUGGAAAGUGAGUAUAGGUUAAUCGCCUAUCGGGGGUUCGAAUCCCCCGCUCUCCGCCA
rnacentral:tRNA from 3 species